rnacentral:pre_miRNA from 1 species
AUCCGAAUCACCUGUAGAUCUAUUUUUUAAAAUGCAGAUUCUGGAUCAGCAGGCCUGGGAGGGGGCACCAAGAUUAUUCAUUUCUAACAAGCUCCCUGGUGAUGUCAAU